rnacentral:rRNA from 1 species
GCACUUUAAGCAGUGAAGAAGACUCCGUGGUUAAUACCCACGGACGAUGACAUUAGCUGCAGAAUAAGCACCGGCUAACUCUGUGCCAGCAGCCGCGGUAAUACAGAGGGUGCAAGCGUUAAUCGGAAUUACUGGGCGUAAAGGGAGCGUAGGUGGCUCGAUAAGUCAGAUGUGAAAUCCCCGGGCUUAACCUGGGAACUGCAUCUGAUACUGUUAGGCUAGAGUAGGUGAGAGGAAGGUAGAAUUCCAGGUGUAGCGGUGAAAUGCGUAGAGAUCUGGAGGAAUACCGAUGGCGAAGGCAGCCUUCUGGCAUAAUACUGACACUGAGGCUCGAAAGCGUGGGUAGCAAACAGGAUUAGAUACCCUGGUAGUCCACGCCGUAAACGAUGUCUACUAGUCGUUGG